UAGCAUCCUUAACAGAGAGGCUGUUCUGUCUGCUGAAUGACCUUUCCGAACCUGCAGAAAUGACCCCAAAAUCACAGCAGCAGUCGGAACACACUGUUACCAUGGAAACGUCAUCAAACCCAAAAGAGAAAGCAGACCCAGGAAGCAGGACAUGGCCGGGUGUCCCAGUCCUGUUGUCUCUGAGCGACACAGAAUCAACAACUACAGCAUCGGUCACCACAACCAGGUGCACCAUGGGACAUGUGGCUCUUAUAGAGCAGAGGGAUGCCGUGGUGAAGCGGUUUGAGCAGCUGUACAGGUCGGAAUGGUCUCGGUCAGAGAGCGACAAACGAAAACAGCUGAGAGAAACAGAGACGUGGCACCAUCACUGGACACAACAGAUGCACACACUGGCGCACAUCAGCACCGGGACGGCAGAGACUUCCUAAACAUCAAACCAGUGACAUACAGUCUGUCCACAGGAUAUUGACACUGCCCAGUCAACCAGCCAAUCAGGAACUAGUGUUCCUCCAACUUCUGGGAAGAGAGGGUGUCAAAGCUUCAGUCCAUGAUUGGGAUGGUCCUUUCCUCUGGCAACCACGGCCUC